AUAUCUUUAGUUCCAAGGAUUAAAGGAGAUGCGCGGAAUGUCUACUUCUCCUCUUGUAGGUUGGACAAAUUGAGUUGAUGACUGUAUGGAGUUUUUGUCCUGACCUAGCUCGGAGUCUUGGCACCUUAAGGGAGUAGGAGAAUUUCUUUGAGUUUUGUUUCUUCUCAUGUAGACUUGAGAAUAUGAUGGAAGUUCUGUAUGUUUUGUACUAGGUUCGCACCUGUUAUCACAAGUAGGAUGAGAUGUCAAUAUAGGUGGAUCCAAAUGUUCAUUAUUAAAAAAAAAUUGGUUCAUAAUCAGGUAUAAGGAUUGCAGGAACAUAAUUUAUAGGAAGAGGAUUUUCAG